AAAAAAGCAAUCUCGAUAGAUACAUAGUUGCAAUUCCAUGCAUAUUAUCAUUAGUGGCAGAUUGGCAUGUCAGAGCCUCCGGCCACUGUGAGAAUCAGCUAGUGUUGCAUUUCACUGUUGUGGGAGUUUGACCAGACCAGCUGAUGUUACUAAAAUUCCUUUUUUCGACUGUUAUUUUAUCCAAAUUUUUUAGUUCCACUAUUGUUAGUUUUCUAUUUUUUUCCCCAAACUUGCAACAAAAGAUUUAUGGGUUGAUUUGCUGGGUAGGAUGAAACAGGACAUUCAACAGUUUAAGGCAGCCUGUGACAUUGUUCUGUUCAGAGAAACAUAUAUCAGAGUCUAUCCGAUCCUUGCAGGGAGUCUACAGCCUUUACCUAUUCCUACCAACAUAUUGCGGGGAUCUUGAUGAAUUUUAUCAUGGGUAGGUUACAAAAAGUUAAUCUUGAAGACAAAAUUCUGCUGGUGGUUGAAUUACAUGCAAAAAUAUGUCGAUGUUAUUUAUCUAACUCAUUGUUUUACUUCAAAGGAUCUAGUUGAGACUUUUCUCAAAGAGGUGGUUCAGUUGCCUGGUUUUCAGCAUCGAGUCUCGGACUGAGGCAAGGUGGCAUUUUUUAUUUAGGUUGUUUCACUUAGCUGGUACCAAAGAAAUUCAGAUUUUUUUUUAUGGUGAAUGUUAGUAAGUUAUUUCACUCUUCAAUUUCUCCACCCGAACCACCAAGCCAGCCUUAUACAUCCAAGACAAACAAACAAAUUAUGUUUUACUUACUAUCUGAAAUCAAACGGCUAAUCAAAAGUGAUGAAUAAGUGUUUGGAGAUCGAUAUGAGAAGCUCGACAGAUGAAAAAACAAAACAAUGGCACAAAUGUGACCUAAUAUGACCAAGACCCUUCUAUGUUACCGAAAGAAACUACUUUUCCCUCAGCAACUGGGGAAG
rnacentral:lncRNA from 1 species